UACGUAGGGUGCAAGCGUUGUCCGGAAUUAUUGGGCGUAAAGAGCUCGUAGGCGGUUUGUCGCGUCUGCUGUGAAAACCCGAGGCUCAACCUCGGGCCUGCAGUGGGUACGGGCAGACUAGAGUUCGGUAGGGGACCACGGAAUUCCUGGUGUAGCGGUGAAAUGCGCAGAUAUCAGGAGGAACACCAGUGGCGAAGGCGGUGGUCUGGGCCGAUACUGACGCUGUAGAGCGAAAGCGUGGGGAGCGAACAGG
rnacentral:rRNA from 1 species